AGCAAGAAAAAUGGAUGUGACUGGAGAGAAAUAGGGAGAAAAUGAGAGAGAAGUCAGAGGAACAAUACAGAUGCAGUUAUCUUUUCCUGUGGAUUAAGUCAGAGGACAAACAAACCAAAAAAUUUACCUUAUGACUAGCAGUGUAAAGGGGAAAUAUAAAGAGAUUUAGAAUCUUUGGCUUCAAGGAAUUUGUAAUCUCUUUACUGGGGUAAGACAGAAAAUGUGCUGCAGUGUUCAGGUAAGGCAUGAAACUGUUCAAAUGAAAAGGCUUCCUAGAGGUGCUAAAGUGGGCUGGGCUUUGAAGGAUAAGGAGAAUGUCUCGGAUAGAGGAAACGCCCUAAGGUAGGCUGGAGACUGGAAAUAGAGGAAGGAUGAAAGGAAGGCGUGAUUAGAAGAUUGCUUUGCAGGGUCUUAGACACUGGGGUGUUAUUGAAAGUUCUAAUCAGCCAAAACAUGACAGUUUUAAGAUGCUGUUCAGUGAGACAACUUGGAAGAAGGUGGAG